GUUGCGUAAGGAGCUGGCCGCCGCAGCUCGCACCUCAUGGCCGGCUGAGCGGCUCCCCCGUCGGGCAGAGCCCUCCAGAGACGCGAGGGUUUGGCGGCGUCUUGCUGGCGGGAGCGUAACGCCUCGCCCUCGGAGCAGGGGCCGAGCAGUUGUUGAUGCACACGGGCUGCUUUCAGUUACAGUGAGGGACGCUGACAAGAUUCCCCUCGUCAUCAGUUGGCUGCUCCGUCCCUCGCGUUUUGCAGCACGAGGAAAAGUAGGAAACUGAUCUCUGACAGGAAAUACGUGUAAAGCACUGUACGCGUACGUGGUGGUGCAGAGACGACCAUUGGCAGGGCCUGCUUCUGUCGCACCCCAGAGCUCGUGAGGGGCUCCCACAAGGGUGCACCGCUCCCGCGUGGCCUCGGCUGCCCUGCAUCUGAAGCGUGAUGCAGCAGCACGUAGGCCAUGGCAGCCAGUGACCCUCAGCUUCUAGGAUCCCCCAGUGCCUGCUUUUUUCUUAGUUACCUUUCAUAGAGAAUUCUGGAGGUCUGUGAAUGAGGUUGAGAAGUGUUAGAUUAAAGAGCUGUUACUACUGAGAAUUCCCUGGGAGAUAAUGUUGAGCAUAUUCUUAUCUGUCCGUGUUUGUGCUAGGUAGCUGAAGCUAUCGGCUACCUAGGGAAGUCUGCUGGCAGUAACAAGGAAACCCAGAAAUAGAUUGUCAGCAUGCUCUCCAAACAGAGAAUAAACAGUGCUUCUGAAUCAGCCCAUCACUAUGACCUUGCAGAAAGUGCCCUGGCUUAGCCCAAAACUGUCACAGUCCAGGAAAAACACACCAUGAUAAUGUGAGUGUAAUAUCAGGAAGUCACGAUGGAGGAAGACAGCAAUCUUCCCAUCAGCCAAAGAUUGUUCUUACUGCAUGUUGUGUACUCUUACUUUAUGAGCAUUUAUUGUGCCAGUAAAUUGAGAGUACCUCCAGAUAACUUUUCAUAGAAAGUUGUAAAUUAAUCCUAAAGCUAUUAGUCGCAGCUUUUUUUUUUUUUUCCAGAGUUCUAAAACAUCCGUAUGUAUGCUUAUGUAGUCUCUUGUAAGUCCGCUCCAUAACAGCAAAGAAGCUUCUUGCAAUUAUAAUUCUUAUUUUAGUUUCAGAAUUCCCUAAGAAGUGCAAGUAGUGUCUAGGAACAGAAGUCACACUUAUUUGCCGUAAUAAUACUAUAAUGUCAGUAAUAAUUUUUAGCCAGUAGAAGCUACAAUACACAACCUUAAAAAACAAGUCUGUAUAUAUACCUGAGCAAGUUUCAAGGGCAAGAUUAAAAUGCAAGAUUAUGUGCUGUGUAAGCCUACUGUAGUUUCUAAAAAAAGUCUUCUACAGCUGGUAUAAAUCUGAAAUUUCUUUUACAGCAUUAGACAUUUUUAGUUAAUUGGAUGAUACGCUGGACCCAGAAUUAUUACAGGUAACUUUGAACUUCUGAAACAGUUCAUUUAAAGAUAGAACUGUACAAGAACUGAUUCCUAUUUGUAUGCUGGGAAGAUGGCAAUAAUAUUAAGAAAACGAACCUUACUUAUUAACAGGAUAUAAUAGUAUCAGGGUUUGGUUUUUUUUGGCUUUAGAAAAAGUAUGUUGUCUAGGAUCUAAACUACAAUUCCUUCUACAAUUGGAUGUAUUUUGAGAGCUCUUGUGACUUCAGCGAACCAUUGCUGAUCUAGGAGCUUACCUGUAUGGAUCGGUUUGCAAGCUAGUGGCCUAACUGCAGUGCUUUAGGACAGAAUUUGAACUACAACUAUUGGGAUUAUACAAUUAUACAUUGAGAGUUUUUUAGCACAUUAGAACUCAGAUGUUAAUAGGCUUCACACUAGCUGAGGACCAACUUUUCCAGUCCAGUUCCUUAAAUUAAAAGGACACUGUGAUGUUAAUAUCAAAUUCAGAUUAAAAAGAGCAAUAUAAUAGAAUAGAUGUGAGUAUUAAAAGAGAAAGUUAAGUUACAAGAAAUUUGUCAAAGAAAUAGGUGUGCUAUAUUACAAAAACAGAGGCAUAAAGAUUCAGAAAUGUCAAAUAAAAACCUGAAAUAAAGUUUUAAUUUACAACUUUACAGCGGAGAUGAAAAACAAAUGAGAAGCAAAAAAAAAAAUUAAAUUCAAGAAUAAAAGGAAACAAAAGAUACUAGUUGUAGCUUUUUGUUUAUCAACAUACUAGAAUAAAAUCAAUCUAGAAAAACUCUGAAUGUAACUGGUAUAGUAUCUGUACUGUAUGGGAGCUGUGUUAGGUGGUGAUCUUCUUGCUGAAUUAGCACUGACUUGAGAUUCCCAGUGAGACUGAGUUCCUUGCCCAACUGGAGGAGUCGUUGUUUCCUGUUUCUUGAGAUUAGUCACCAGAUCUAACAUCUCAGUAUAUGACCUGAAUAAAGUAACCUUGAUCACUGUAUUAUUAAAAAUCCUUCCCUCUUAAAGCCCUCUUUCUAGGCUACUUGUGGUAAACUGUAGGUCCAGUGAUUAAUUCCCAGUCUAUUUGCUGAAAAGGAUGUGUUGUAUGUAAGUAGAGCUAUGUAAAUAAAGAGAAAGCACCACUGGUCUAUACAUGACAAGAAUAACUUUACCAUACUCCAAAAUGUGGCCAUUUCACAGUUGAGAUACAGCCUUUACUGUAAAUAGUAGAGGAGCUUAGCAGAGAUUCUGAUGAAACUUUAGGGAAGGCUUUGAAAGAUCGUGCAAAUUGGAAAGAAAGCUACAACUAACACCUCUCCUGAUUUAAUCUCAGUGCUUUAUUUGAGCACUGUAACUGCAUCUUGUUGCUUUAACUCUUGGAGUUGCACAAAUUCUGAAGAAGUGCACCACCUAACUCAACUUCCAUCAGGUGCAGUGCCAGUGACUCUGUCUUUAAAGGAAUGUAUUAUUGAAGGAUUGCUGGUAUGUGGUCCAGACCAGUAGUCGCAUCUGUGUUACACUUUUCAUCUGAAAAGUGGUGGGGUUUUUUUGUCAUACAGAAGUCUAGAAUGCAAUUGGACAAGAUAGGCAGGAAUGCACGCUGGUGCAGUGUAUUUUGUACCACUGUAAAAACUGAAACUCAGUUGUUUUAAAAGGUUGGGAUUUAAGUGGAUGUUGAAUGAUUGGUAGGAAACGAAUUCAACUAGUUACCUUAAAACUAAAAGGACAACAAGCAAAAUAUCUGUAAAUCACAGGCCUGAAAAAGUAACUAGGACACGAAAAACAAUUAAGGGAAGGUGUCUUUUGAAUUUGAGGUAAUGCAGUCAACAGUGUAAAAAUUUCGGUAAGAUCUGGAGAGCCAUGUGGUUCUCGUUUUUAAACAGAAUAUUUAUGUGGUAUCAAGUAGAAGCAAAAUAAUGUCAAGAUUUUGAAUCAGACAACUUACAUUUACUAGAAUCCAACCUCAUCCUGAAUGUUGGCCUUCAUCUUCAAUUUAAGCCUUAGCAAACAUGAAAAAAGAUUCAGCUGCUAUUCACAGGGAUUGCAUUCAAUUUCUGCAUUACAUGCAGACCCAUUUGCUUAAGAAUAAAAUCUUUUGACAGGACUGCAGAGGACAGACUGGCAGGUUGACUUGAGAGGUGUCUUGAGUCAGCACAGGGUAGUUGGAGGUAGUUGCGUGACUUGAGUUCAUCCUGUUGAACAUCAACAAAGAAAUUAUUCCUUGCCUAGUGUAAAAUUGUCAAGGAAGCAGCAAUGGUUAGAGUAAGGUGCUGGCUGGGAUUGUAUCACCAUCCCCCAGAAAGCACCUCCCUAUCCUGUGAUGAGUGGCUAUCAGAGUGCAAAUUUUGCAAGGUGGGAGCAGGCUUGAGCAGUAGGUGUGGUCUGACCAGAAGCUGACAUCUCAAUGACCUUGACUUACAGGUAUGCUAGAAAACCAGCUGCAAAAAUAUUGCUCUGCACUGCAAGCUAAAUUGUGUCAAAUGGUGCAGGACUGGACAGGGCUUCAUAGGUGGAAGCAAAUGAGGAGAGGUAGAACUAUCUUCAUAGCAAAAUGUCGAUUAGGUCGGGGUUUCAAGGUUGCCAGACCACACAGGAACUAGCUGUGUUGAUGUGAAGUAUCCGUCAAGAGAACAAGAUUUCUAGCAUCCAGAGAAGCACAAGCAGCACUCAGGAGCAUCUGAAAAGCCUGUUCUGUAGGGCUGCCAUGGAUAUCAAAGACUGUGUAGUCUGCUAUACAAAUGCAGUAAUAUCCAACUGUAAUAUUGUAAAAGGCAAAUAAUAUUUAUUAAAGGUGAAAUAGGAUUUUAGCAGUUUUUAAAUAGUAAGGACAAUUCUAAAAGUAUUGGUUUCUGCCUGGAUGUCUCAAUUAAACGACUCCAUUUAAGAGAGGUCAAAGAGAAAUCUCCAGUACCUGGAUCCAGCUGUUCACAGGGGAGACAUUUGAUUCCAUUGAUGCACUCACAUCCACUGGAAGUUGUUCAUAGGAUAAGGAAAGGCCUCUCCAACUAGUGGCUGGUACAGCUGACAGCAGUAACAUACCAGAUCCAGCCUCUUUCCACAGCUGACCAAAGAUCUGAGGCAUGCAGCCUAGCCACAGAAGGGGAAGAACCUAUGAAUAAGUAGUCUAAUCACCCAGUCCAUGCACACAUCUGAAGGCCAUGACUCUUUGCAAACACUGGUGACAGAUCUUCAAAGAAUGGGGCCAACAGAAAAUCUGUCCAAGCUCUGCACAUGCCUGUGUGUGAGGAUGGUCAUCAUAAACAUUGUUUGCUGCCUGGUCACUUCAUUUACAUUUUUUUUAAGCAAUUAGGAUGAAAAGAGUCGUGCUGCAUUUUAGUCAGAAAUUCUUCCUCAUUCAUUACAGCUGUAACUUCCUAAGUGACGUUAUUUUUUUUAUAUUGUGCCAAUUGCCAAAUUCCAUGAAGAUAUCUUUUAUUAUUUGACCAAGUAAACAGGAGCUAUCCUUAAAUGUUAGUGAAAACUAAUUCUGCUGGUUGUAAUUUCUGUAGUGUUAAACUGUGCAACUAAAGAGAAGAAUUGCGAUGUGCUAUGCAUAUUUUUCCCCCAUUAAUUGUAUUGUCUUGUUUGUAUUUGUGUGUACUUGUAAAUAAAGCAUAUGGUAGUUAUAUCUACUCUGUAAAAUGUGGGUGUGAUUUUUUUAUUCACUUGGCAACUUAUUCCAUUUAAGUACAUUUUUAAUUAACAAGGUCUGUCUCUUUCAAAAGGAAACAUUCAUCUAAUCUCUUUCCUACCUGAAGAAAGACAGUGAGAAAAAUCAGGUAGGCACACAGCUGAGAAGUUGUCACUUAGCAGGUAAUGUCACUGUAGAGAGAGAACUCUUUCAUUUCACCUCACUUAAAUCAGAAACACCUAUUUUUCAAGGUUCCUAAAACAUAAUACAGUUGGACCCCAUCAGUAUCCUGUUUAGGCAUAACUCCUAUCCUUCACGGUCAUCAAAGCAAAUAUAAUUAAAUUACAGAAAUAAUUGGGAAAAAGCAAAACAUAGGAUCCUUUAGGUAACUGUACAGGGGACAAAAAAAAAAAAAUCUAUAACCAUGACUUGCAGAAUCAGUAAUAUGGUCUCUAAGGAUCCUUCUCCAUAGCCUGUCACAAGGUUGGAUUGGAAAUAAAUAUAGAUUCACCUGAAAAAGAAAAAAAAAGAAAGUGUUUUGUUAUGUACUUCUUGUCUGGCAUAAUUCUGUCUCUCUUCCUAUUUGGCAUUUUAUUUUUAAUAAUGCCAAUAGCAGAAAAUUAGGCCAUUGUGGAAAUGAAAGAGAGUGGCAAAUUAUAUAUAUGAGCACAUAUGUUUACUGAAAAUUUGAAAACUUAAUAGCAGGAAUUAUAUACUCUGAAAGGAAAUAUUUUUAGAGGGAUGAGAGAUUCCUAAAAAUAACAUAACUUCAAUCUGAAUUCAAGUUGCCAGAGCAAGAUCAAACAGGACUCUGUGGCUCCCUCUAGGAGAAAGAAGCUUGGGGCUACCAAUCCAUCUGCAUCCCCUGCUCGCUCUGGCAGCUCUCAGAGCCAUGGGUGGCAGGCCCCCGAUCUGCUCUCCUUCUCCUGCAAGGGGCCCAUGUUGCUAAACAUACUUUCUGGCAUGUCCACGGUGGCACAUAAAACCUUUGUGGUUUUUGCUGCAAGCAUAAUGUCAUUAAGAGUAGACAUGAGCGUGAAGAGCAACAGAACAAAUUAGGUUUGUGUCUUUAACUUAUUAACUUUUAAAGAGGAAGUGGAAAGUUUCAUGGUUCAUUGCAGAUUUUUCUGUCUUCACAGUGCAGAGAAGUAAAAUUUUAAGGUUUGGACUGUGGUAACAUGUAGGUUCAACUUUCUUUUCCUGCAGUAAAUACCACAGAGGAGGGGAAUUGCAUCAGAAAUACCAAGGAAGAGAAGCCCAGUCUGCCAUAGGAGCCAUUCUAUUCCCGGAGGAAUGAUAAUUCCUAUAGUAGGACAAUUCAACAUAAACACAUGCAAUAAAACAGAGAUCAUCAACAUUGUGACAGAAGAGACAGAGAACACUUCCUGCUGUACCCUGAGUGAAAAAGCCUCUCUCUGCCUG